rnacentral:rRNA from 1 species
UACGUAGGGUCCGAGCGUUGUCCGGAAUUAUUGGGCGUAAAGGGCUCGUAGGCGGUUCGUCACGUCGGGAGUGAAAACUCGGGGCUUAACCCCGAGCCUGCUUCCGAUACGGGCAGACUAGAGGUAGGCAGGGGAGAGCGGAACUCCUGGUGUAGCGGUGGAAUGCGCAGAUAUCAGGAAGAACACCGGUGGCGAAGGCGGCUCUCUGGGCCUUACCUGACGCUGGAGGAGCGAAAGCGUGGGUAGCGAACAGG